GACGAACGCUGGCGGCGUGCCUAAUACAUGCAAGUUGAGCGCUGAAGGUUGGUCCUUGUACCAACUGGAUGAGCAGCGAACGGGUGAGUAACGCGUGGGGAAUCUGCCUUUGAGCGGGGGACAACAUUUGGAAACGAAUGCUAAUACCGCAUAAAAACUUUAAACACAAGUUUUAAGUUUGAAAGAUGCAAUUGCAUCACUCAAAGAUGAUCCCGCGUUGUAUUAGCUAGUUGGUGAGGUAAAGGCUCACCAAGGCGAUGAUACAUAGCCGACCUGAGAGGGUGAUCGGCCACAUUGGGACUGAGACACGGCCCAAACUCCUACGGGAGGCAGCAGUAGGGAAUCUUCGGCGAUGGACGAAAGUCUGACCGAGCAACGCCGCGUGAGUGAAGAAGGUUUUCGGAUCGUAAAACUCUGUUGGUAGAGAAGAACGUUGGUGAGAGUGGAAAGCUCAUCAAGUGACGGUAACUACACAGAAAGGGACGGCUAACUACGUG
rnacentral:rRNA from 1 species